UGCCAGCCGCCGCGGUAAUACAAAGGGACCUAGCGUAGUUCGGAAUUACUGGGCUUAAAGAGUUCGUAGGUGGUUGAAAAAGUUAGUGGUGAAAUCCCAGAGCUUAACUCUGGAACUGCCAUUAAAACUUUUCAGCUAGAGUAUGAUAGAGGAAAGCAGAAUUUCUAGUGUAGAGGUGAAAUUCGUAGAUAUUAGAAAGAAUACCAAUUGCGAAUGCAGUUCACUGGACCGUGAUCGACGCUGAGGAGCGAAAGCUAGGGGAGCAAACAGGAUUAGAUA
rnacentral:rRNA from 1 species